rnacentral:misc_RNA from 1 species
AAUUCUCAACCUUCCAUGUUUUAUUAGCAUGGUUAGGCUUGGAUGUGGGGGUUGCGGGCUUCAUCAAUGAUGUCAGCUCUCCUUAAAUGCAUUAGCGGAACUUUUGUGGACCGUCUAUUGGUGUGAUAGUUAUCUACGCCGUGGAUGUGAUGCAGCUUUAUGAAGUUCAGCUUCUAACCGUCCAUUGACUUGGACAAUUUUGACA